ACUCCUACGGGAGGCAGCAGUGGGAAUAUUGGACAAUGGGGGCACCCGUAGCAUCCAGCGAUGCCGCGUGUGUGAAGAAGGCCUGAGGGUUGUAAAGCACUUUAGUGGGAGGAAAGUUAACAGGUUAAGAGCUAGUUAAGUUGACGUUACCCACCAUAAACAGCACCGGCUAACUCCGUGCCAGCAGCCGCGGUAAUACGGGGUGGC
rnacentral:rRNA from 1 species